rnacentral:tRNA from 1 species
CGAAAUUGUAGUUUAAAUAAAAUACCAGCAUUGGAAGCUGAAGAAUAGGUUCUAUCCUACAUUUCGA